GACUUAAUACUUUAAUAUAAAAGAUCUGAUUUGCAUUCAGACAAUAGAUCUUAAGAUCUUUAGGUCA
rnacentral:tRNA from 1 species